UCCCCUCAGACAUGCAUAGGCUGCUAGUGAGCACAUGGGGCUUCCUUUCUGGUGAUUUGAUAUGAGCCGGUGUUCUCAUUCCAGGUUCUAGUAGCCUGAUGUUCCUGUGACGGCUGAUGUGAGCAAGCCCCCAGAUACUCACUGCAGGAGGGGGAGACUGGACAUCUCCCAGAGCUGUGCCUGCUCUUCUCUGAGAACCACGCUCCUAUGGCUUUGGGGGUUGUGGGAAAGCUCCUUCAGUGCUCCUCUUGCUCCGCUCUCCAUCCCAGCUCUCCCCCCCGGCAGGCGUUUGACUGGUUCAGAGCUGCCUGCAGUGGUGCAGUUCCUCAGAGGCUCACUCAUGCCAAGGUCCUUUCGUGUGUCCUCUUGAGGUGGAGCGAAGUCUGUGAAGCCAGCUGAAAACAAUAGUUUGCUUCCCAUUCCUUAAAAAUAAUUUCCUCCAGAUGGGAGCUCUUUGUUCCCUUCUCCUUGCCCCCAGUGGAAAAAAUACUGAAUUCAAGAUGGAUUCCAGCACCACGUGAUUAUAGUAACUUGUUUUUGUAGGACCAGCCACAAUCCAGGCUUACCAGAAAAACCAGACUAUUCACAGAUCAUUUCCUUGAGCAUUGGGCCAUUAAGUUCCUUAAGUACCACUAAUGGCUUUCGUGAGAAGACCUAGAUUAAUAAACAGGUUUAUACUUCAUAUUUCUAACUUCACACACUGGAAUUAUACACGCACAGAAUAGAGGAUACACAUUCAGGGGAUUACAAUGAUAGAUUACUUGUCCUGUUUUGCAUAAAGUGUAUUAGUUAUGCAAAUUCCUAUUAAAAACACAUUUCUAUAAAAAUAUGAGGGCUUAGUGUCAAAGGAACCAUCAAAUAAUGUAACCCGCUAAUGUAGAUGGAAAAGCUCCCAUUGUGACCGUGAAAGGUGCUAAUGGCUUGGCUUGCCCAGUGGGGGCUGUUGAUCUCGGAGUGCACACACCCUUGUUAAGGAGGUUAUGUGAGCUAAAGUAUUCUGGCAGGUAAAGCUCUGAGAUUCCUUUCAAAAGCAUAGUACUUGUGCUAAAGGGAGGUAGGGGUUUGAUGCCCAGAUUUACCUCUGAGAGCCAAGUGGCACCAGUUAAAGCACUGUGGGCUAGGGAAUGUGUUUUGGUGACUGGCUCGGGGCUGGGGCAGGAAGGAAAGACCAAGUGUGAGAGACAGGCAGGGCAGCUGUUCCUGAGCAGAGGUGUGUUGCAAGAGGUUUCUGCCUUUGCACUGUUUGUUGCCUCCCCCAUUUCAGGAAGCAGGAGACAUGUACGU